CCCCCCCAAACUAGAACACUGUGUAUGAAGGAGAGUACCAUGCUGGGCAUCCCAACAUCGUCACAUUCUGGGAGGUGUUUGAGGAACUGACAGAGGAUCAAAAGAAAGCGUUCCUGUUGUUCCUGACUGGCUGUGAUCGUGUGCCCAUCCUGGGUAUGAACCAGAUCAGGAUGAGGGUCCAAACCCUUCUCAACUCCUCCCAACAGCAUUUUCCAGAGGCGCUGACCUGUCACUCUCUGUUGCAGCUGCCCAUCUAUCCCUCCAAAGAGACACUACAGAGCAGGCUUAUAGAGGCUGUUGGCCACAACAGAGGCUUCUGGAAUGAAUAAUGGGUGUAUAGUGUUGCUGCUGUAUAUACUCCUCUCCUGAGUUCAUCUUUUCAUUGUUCCAUAGUUGGGUUUAAGAUUUGGAUUGUUUUAAUGUAGGGUUGUAUUUCAAAUCCUAACUUGAGAUCUGUGUGGUAUUAUGACAUUAUCAUAUUGCAUUCAUAAAAUUUUAUUAAAACAUUUAUAAAUC